rnacentral:rRNA from 1 species
AAUGGGCGGAAGCCUGACGGAGCAACGCCGCGUGAGGGAUGAAGGCCUCUGGGCUGUAAACCUCUUUUAUCAAGGAAGAAGAUCUGACGGUACUUGAUGAAUAAGCCACGGCUAAUUCCGUGCCAGCAGCCGCGGUAAUACGGGAGUGGCAAGCGUUAUCCGGAAUUAUUGGGCGUAAAGCGUCCGCAGGCGGCCCUUCAAGUCUGCUGUUAAAAAGUGGAGCUUAACUCCAUCAUGGCAGUGGAAACUGUUGGGCCUGAGUGUGGUAGGGGCAGAGGGAAUUCCCGGUGUAGCGGUGAAAUGCGUAGAUAUCGGGAAGAACACCAGUGGCGAAGGCGCUCUGCUGGGCCAUCACUGACGCUCAUGGACGAAAGCCAGGGGAGCGAAAGGGAUU